rnacentral:rRNA from 1 species
AUACGUAGGGGGCGAGCGUUGUCCGGAAUGAUUGGGCGUAAAGGGCGCGUAGGCGGCCCGGUAAGUCUGGAGUGAAAGUCCUGUUUUUAAGAUGGGAAUUGCUUUGGAUACUGUCGGGCUUGAGGGCAGGAGAGGGAAGUGGAAUUCCCAGUGUAGCGGUGAAAUGCGUAGAGAUUGGGAGGAACACCAGUGGCGAAGGCGACUUACUGGACUGUAACUGACGCUGAGGCGCGAAAGUGUGGGGAGCAAACAGGAUUAGAUACCCUGGUAGUCCACACUGUAAACGAUGAAUGCUAGGUGUAGGGGGUAUCGACCCCUUCUGUGCCGCAGUCAACACAAUAAGCAUUCCGCCUGGGGAGUACGGCCGCAAGGUUGAAACUCAAAGGAAUUGACGGGG